UACAGAGGUCUCAAGCGUUGUUCGGAAUCACUGGGCGUAAAGGGUGCGUAGGCCGCACGGUAAGUCAGAGGUGAAAUCCCGGAGCUCAACUCCGGAAUUGCCUCCGAUACUGCCGUGCUUGAGGACUGGAGAGGAGUCUGGAAUUCACAGUGGAGCAGUGAAAUGCGUAGAUAUUGUGAGGAACACUAGUGGCGAAGGCGAGACUCUGGACAGUUCCUGACGCUGAGGCACGAAGGCCAGGGGAGCAAACGGG
rnacentral:rRNA from 1 species